GCCUCGUAUUGAACUCAAAAUUCUUUGCCCUCAAGAACACGGUACGUAGACAACAAUUUUUUUUUUAUCUCGUUUCUUUCUGUGUGCCAUGUUAUAAUUUUCGUAAUUUUUGAAAGAGUGUAAUCUUUUGUCCCAUCACUCCAGGCACAGUUCCUCGUUUUUGAGAGCGAGUGCCGUCAUACUGGAGUGGCGCAAUUACCAGACGGAACGAUUCUCUCUACAAUCUCACCGGACCCAGCUUCCUCACAGGAGCAAAAUAUAGCCGGUCGAAGCACGCCCUUCCGCAUUUUGCAAAGUGAGGUCGGCCACUCCAUCGACGAUGCAUCGCCCUCAACAGCUGAUCACCGGUGGCCAGUUCUCCGAACAAGGAUGGCGAAUGGGAUGAAUCAGAUGAGACCCUCUGAACCUAAAUCUAAGCAGUCUGAAAAACCUAAAUCUACUCAGUGGUUAAAAUCGGCAAGGGAUGUAGGCAGGAGUCUCAAACAGAAGGUUUCAAGUAUUGGAAGCGGGAGCGGGCGGUUUAGUCGAGGUGGAAGCUUCUCUUCAUAUGACUCAGACGGCAGUGGCCGUAGCAGUUCGAGGAACAGCAGUAGAUCAAAUAAACCUGGCAAAACUAAGUCAUGGAUCCAGCGGUAGAGGGGCUCAAUUCCAGGACAACGCAAGUAUGUGUAGUCGUAGCGGGAGUACAGACUCUCAGGCACGAGAAUUACUUCGUAUAACAUGUUCGGGUGAGGUGCCAAAGCUCAACCAGGAAAAGAAAAAGCAAUUAUGUGCAGACGUCAGAGAAGUAAAGGAGGCUAUGUGCGGUAACGUAAAGACGGAAGCGAGUCAGAAGACUGUGGCGCAAUUUGAGGAGGGCAUUCAAAAUAAGUACUGUGAUGGCAAAGGCAAGACCGAUCCUUCGCAGACAGGGCAGAACAAAGGCGAAAGUCAUGCGGCACCUGGCUCACCUAAAGGCACACCGACACCAAUAACACCUAAUUUAACAAUUAUCUUAAGGAAGAGGCUCCAGGAAUAUAAGUUACAACACGAGGCUUCCGUGAGGACCCCCGAUACGAUUGUUCCUAAGCCAGAAUCGCCACCACGGCCGCCGCCUGCCGAUAAGGUUUUUAUUUAUUUAUUUAUCGUUAUUCAUUGGGCGUACUUAAAUCAAAAGAAGUAUACCCAUUCUUACGUGAGCCCUAGGAUCCAUAAGAAUACAUGCUUGAUAGGGCUCAUGUCACAAUGGAUAUAGUUCCUUUUGGAAUACACAGAGAGAAAUUUCAACUCUAAAGUUUGGUCAGCACACAAAAUAACCCUAGCCUUCGGUUGACGAUUUCAAGAGAAAAUGCCAGCUAGUUUUCUUAAAGAAAUUUAAUAAAAACAAGUGGUGAAUAACAACAUCGCAAUCGGAAGAAUGCAUACUCCCAGUCUCUCCAAUGUUUUCUGCGAUAAAUUCACCGCAAAAUAUAGCAAAAUCAACACAAAAUGUGUGGUGGUCUGUGUUUGGCUCCCUUUAUUAAUCAAAAGUAACACAAGAACACAAAUAGUUAUAUCAUAGUAUAUGCAUGCGUUCUCAAGGGCCGUAUUCAAAGUAGUUUCUUAAUCAGUUUCUAUCACUAGGAGGCCUUAGAUGAUUUUGAUCGUGGCUAAGGAAGGUU
rnacentral:lncRNA from 1 species